rnacentral:rRNA from 1 species
UACGAAGGGGGCUAGCGUUGCUCGGAAUCACUGGGCGUAAAGCGCACGUAGGCGGGUCGUUAAGUCGGGGGUGAAAUCCUGAGGCUCAACCUCAGAACUGCCUUCGAUACUGGGGAUCUUGAGUUCGGAAGAGGUUGGUGGAACUGCGAGUGUAGAGGUGAAAUUCGUAGAUAUUCGCAAGAACACCAGUGGCGAAGGCGGCUCACUGGCUCGAUACUGACGCUGAGGUGCGAAAGCGUGGGGAGCAAACAGG